GCAAAUUGCCAUUUUCCCCCUUUCUCGAACCAGAGCCAGUUAGCCGCCGCCGCUGAAAGAUCGAUCGCGAGAAUCCUACUUCACGGUCAUUAACAUCUCACUCACUCGCCUCCGGCGGCGAUUUCGUCGUAAGAUUGCUGUGUUCAAUCCCUUCUCAUCCUCGCUGAGCCGCAGCUGUGCCGUUGUUCCCGUCUUUUCCUCGCCGGUCGCGUUGAUGUUGAUCCAGGGGCCGAUCUACGCGCAGACACGGUAAGUUUGGGGAGAAAAGACGGAUGGUCGGAAACUGUAACGGCGGGUGGGUGAUCGGAAGGUGGUGUGAUUCUAGAUCCGUAGGUCGGCAUUAAAGGGUUUAUCUAUUUCAGUGAGUACAACUGGUGUUAGCUUUGAUGGAUCGGAAGAAAGAAAAGGGUGUCUCGCAUGCUAACCGUCGAAUGCAUCGAGGUAAAACACUUCAUGAGGAAGCAACUGGCAUAAAGCAUGAAGAUGCGAGUUGCAUUUUGAAGACACAACAUCUCCGGCGCCCGGCGGCAUGGGUUAGUCGAGAGGCCAGAUUAAGUCCUCUUGCCGCCUUUUUGGGACAGAAGUUUGCCUCUGAAGUUGAGGCUUUACGAACCCCUUUGAAACCCUUAGUUUUUCUUUGCAAGAGGCAGAUCUCCUCUUCUCCUCCUUUUUAAUUCUAAAAGGAUGUUUUGUUGUUGCUAAAUAGCAUUUGAGUUCCUGAUGACUGUGAUGUAAAAGCGAAUUGUGCCACUGGGGAAAGCAAGAGAAACUUAACCGAUUACUUGGUUCAA